UGACACCCAACUCCACUAUUUGGGGGACCCUGCUGGCAGCUUGUAGAGUUCAUGGCAAUUCAGAGAUAGGUGAAUUGGUAGCAGAGCGCCUCCUUGAGCUGGAUCCAGAGAACAGCAUGGUGUACAUCCUUCUGUCAAACAUUUAUGCAAAGUGUAACAGAUGGGAAGAUGUUCGGCGGCUUAGGCAUGCAAUAAUGGAGAAAGGAAUAAAGAAAGAACCUGGUUGCAGUCUGAUCGAAAUGGACGGUAUUAUUCAUGAAUUUGUAGCCGGUGAUCAGUCUCAUCCUAUGAGCAAAGAAAUCUACUCUAAGUUGGAGA
rnacentral:lncRNA from 1 species